UUGCCCCAUACAGGGGGAUAACAGCCGGAAACGGCUGCUAAACCCGCAUAAGCGCACAAGGGCCGCAUGGCCUGGUGUGAAAAACUCCGGUGGUAUGGGAUGGGCCCGCGUCUGAUUAGCUAGUUGGCGGGGGAGAGGCCCACCAAGGCGACGAUCAGUAGCCGACCUGAGAGGGUGGCCGGCCACAUUGGGACUGAGACACGGCCCAAACUCCUACGGGAGGCAGCAGUGGGGAAUAUUGCACAAUGGGGGAAACCCUGAUGCAGCGACGCCGCGUGAGCGAAGAAGUAUUUCGGUAUGUAAAGCUCUAUCAGCAGGGAAGAAAAAUGACGGUACCUGAGUAAGAAGCACCGGCUAAAUACGUGCCAGCAGCCGCGGUAAUACGUAUGGUGCAAGCGUUAUCCGGAUUUACUGGGUGUAAAGGGAGCGCAGGCGGUGCGGCAAGUCUGAUGUGAAAGCCCGGGGCUCAACCCCGGGACUGCAUUGGAAACUACCGAACUAGAGUGUCGGAGAGGUAAGUGGAAUUCCUAGUGUAGCGGUGAAAUGCGUAGAUAUUAGGAGGAACACCAGUGGCGAAGGCGGCUUACUGGACGAUAACUGACGCUGAGGCUCGAAAGCGUGGGGAGCAAACAGGAUUAGAUACCCUGGUAGUCCACGCCGUAAACGAUGA
rnacentral:rRNA from 1 species